rnacentral:rRNA from 1 species
CCCUUAGUAGCGGCGAGCGAAACGGGAAGAGCCCAAACCAACAAGCUUGCUUGUUGGGGUUGUAGGACACUCUAUACGGAGUUACAAAGGACGACAUUAGACGAAUCAUCUGGAAAGAUGAAUCAAAGAAGGUAAUAAUCCUGUAGUCGAAAAUGUUGUCUCUCUUGAGUGGAUCCUGAGUACGACGGAGCACGUGGAAUUCCGUCGGAAUCUGGGAGGACCAUCUCCUAAGGCUAAAUACUCUCUAGUGACCGAUAGUGAACCAGUACCGUGAGGGAAAGGUGAAAAGCACCCCGGAAGGGGAGUGAAAUAGAACCUGAAACCGUGUGCUUACAAGUAGUCAGAGCCCGUUAAUGGGUGAUGGCGUGCCUUUUGUAGAAUGAACCGGCGAGUUACGAUUUGAUGCAAGGUUAAGCAGUAAAUGUGGAGCCGUAGCGAAAGCGAGUCUGAAUAGGGCGUUUAGUAUUUGGUCGUAGACCCGAAACCAGGUGAUCUACCCUUGGUCAGGUUGAAGUUCAGGUAACACUGAAUGGAGGACCGAACCGACUUACGUUGAAAAGUGAGCGGAUGAACUGAGGGUAGCGGAGAAAUUCCAAUCGAACCUGGAGAUAGCUGGUUCUCUCCGAAAUAGCUUUAGGGCUAGCCUCAAGUG